rnacentral:rRNA from 1 species
UACGUAGGCAGCGAGCGUUGUUCGGAAUUACUGGGCGUAAAGAGUGUGUAGGCGGUGCUCUAAGUUCGGUGUGAAAUCUCCUGGCUCAACUGGGAGGGUGCGCCGGAAACUGGAGUGCUUGAAUCCGGGAGAGGGAUGCAGAAUUCCAGGUGUAGCGGUGAAAUGCGUAGAUAUCUGGAGGAAUACCGGUGGCGAAGGCGGCAUCCUGGACCGGCAUUGACGCUGAGGAGCGAAAGCCAGGGGAGCAAACGGG